GGUCAACUAGCCAAUCAGAACACGUGAAAGCUCAUUUGGUAUGCAAAACUUUAUUUUUUAGCUGGAGCUAUGAGAUUGCCUGGUAAUGUGGCUGGUACAACCGAAAAAUCACACUUUUUAACAGAUGCUUAUAUUCAGCAGUUUAACCUUCGUAUCAAAGCGUUUCCAAACUACGAUGCCAAUGGAUUAACCCAUAUUUAUGGUUUUCCGACAGAAAAAUCCAGCGGUAUGUAUGCUU